AGCAAUUCUUUGAUACAAACCGAUUCAUUCACCUGCGAAUCAAGAAAGAAAGAAAGAAAGCUAAUGCAGUUGCAAAAGCUUGUCCAAGAAAAAGAAUCAAUAAAGUGGUGCAUCAUAAGAUGAGGGCUUGGAACGUGAACAAAGUAGUGCAUGGUGAGCAAGCUCCGAGGCCAAUUCGGCACCGUUUCUCCAUCUCCUCUUUCUUCUUCGAUAGAUUGUAUCGAUGCUAAAAGAACCAACCAGAUUCCAUAAUGGAACGAGGAGAGAAGAGGAGGAGAAUUAUCAGGAGCGAUAUCGGUUUUGACUGCAUGAUUUUUUUUUCUUUGUAUAAAGAACACAAUAAUAAAAUAAAAGUAAAGUAUUGUUUUUAUCCCUAA